rnacentral:sRNA from 1 species
GCAGAUUUCCGAAAUGGAAAACUUGCUAAGACUUGUUACUCCUGAUGUGCGUGUAUUUUCAUCUAAACUGCUGUUCAAUUUGGCGGUGUGAUCCCUUUUCCUAAGUAAUAUGCCUUCUCAGCAUCAGCCAACCUUUUUUGGAACAUCCCCCAUUCUUUUCUACAGCGAGCUCUCACCUGUGAAAAAAAGUUGUAUAUUAAGAGUGCAUAUACCUGGUUCCCCAGUGACGGAAUAACCUGAUGAAUAACCCACUGAGAAUCAACAACUCCGAUUUUCUCGUGAGCUGGCUCAUACAGCUUCAAGCAAAGCUAAGAACAGUGCAGAUGCCACUCCACCUGAAUCAUAUGCCAUACACAGCGCCAUGCAUCCCUAGAGAACACAGUUGCCAUAAUUUCAACAAAUGCUGCACAUGGUGGUAGAUGUGGAUCAGUGCACCAGCCUGGCCUCUCUUCGCUCACUUGUGAACUUCUUGAUCUCCUAGCCGUUUGGUCAUUUGCCAUGUCAGACCUUUAUCAGGUUCCAAACCAGGCUGAGAGAUCUCCAACCCAUGCUUCCUAACAAGCUUAAUGUACCUCUCUGCAUUGAAAUGUUGUACACUUAGAUCCUCAUCCCAGAUAAAUAUGUAGUCAUA